UCCGUCUUGCCAACCCAUCAAGACACCUUCCAGACUCAGCUUCAAUGCAGCCUUUCCUGAAAAACUCCUCUGACGCUUGUGCCCUCCUGAUGGCUGCUGGUUUGUUGUGUAUGGUUUCUGUGGAUGCUCUUUUCAAGCUGGAUGAUGCAGAAAUAGCAGCUCAGGGAGGCAAGUGACUGCCCAAGACCCCAGGAACCAGGUCUAGAAGGACCCUAGUGUGUCUUUGCCUGAGAGAUGGAGCUGUCUGUCACCAGCUCUGCCUGGAGGGGAAAGACUGUGGAAGGGAGAGGGCAGGGAGCUGCCUCACCUGCUAACUCUUCUCAACUGAACCAGCUCUUCACUUGGGAAUCUGACUGCAAUAUGACUUCUCAGGACACCAGGCAUCCUAGCCUUAAGAAGGACACAGGCUCCAAGACCCAUGGAUCUCCUCUGAGAGCUGUACUGGAGAAGGUUCUGAAAGUCUUCUUUACAUCCCUAACCAGACAGGUCCCAGUUGCUGCUCGCACAAUCACCUCAGCUCUAGCUUCUCUCACAAGAGUGAAACUUGGAGGCAUUAAUAUAUAUUUGUGUUCUGUAAAACUUGAAAGAAUAAAACAUUAGAAAUAAAAGUAUUACAACCAUCCA
rnacentral:lncRNA from 13 species